rnacentral:lncRNA from 1 species
AGGAUUUGCUGCAGCUUCUCAUUUAGACGGACAGAACUUGGCAGAAGACCAAAGGGUUCCUUCUGAUCUCUCAGAGGCUUCCUGAGAGCACAGAUGGAUGAGCAAGACUCAGCUGGCCCUGGAACAGGAAGAGGCCAUGCCAACCAAACUGGGAGCAGUGGGGGUUUUUGGGAAAACUCGGUGCUGAAGAUUCAUGGUGAGGUGGACACCCUCCGCUCAGAGGUGCAGAGCCAGCAGUUGAGGCAGUUCUGCUGCCAGGAGGCCAAAGGACCCCGAGAGGUUUGCAGCCGACUCUACCACCUUGACCAUCAGUGGCUGAAGCCAGAAAGGCACACGAAAGCUGAGAUGCUGGACCUGGUGAUCUUGGAGCAGUUCCUGGCUGUCCUUCCCCCGGAGAUGGAGAGCUGGGUGAGGGACUGUGGAGCGGAGACCAGUUCGCAGGCGGUGGCCCUGGCCGAAGGUUUCCUCCUGAGUCAGGCACAGGAGAGGAAGCAGGAACAGAGUAAACAGGUGAGAGAGACUUUCCUCUGGAUACUCCCAAGGGGUUCCAAACAGGACAGAAAACAUCCCAUAAUGGUCUGCUGAUGGCCCAUCCUUUUUCUGGGAAAGAAUCGAUGGAAUGAGAUCUCGCACCCUUCAAGUCUUUGUCAUUCUCUUUCUAGUAUUUCUUCCCAUUCUCUGUUUUGAAUCCUUGUUUCUUUCUCAGGGAAAGGAUCUCUUUGCAGAAAUGGACCUGGAUUCCUGUGAGGCAGAGAGGCCUCCGUUGGACACCAGAGAGAGGCCACUGGGUAAGGAGGAAGGUGGUUUUUCUCCACUGGUCUCAUUCUCUUGGUUUUCCAACUCAUCUGAGGAUUCCUUUCAUCUUGUUUUGGGGGGAGACAGUUGGGAACAAGGGUCCAGAGGAGGGGAGAUGUAUUUCUGCACAAACAAACAUAUGAAAUGGGCACAAACCUCCAAAUGCACUCAGCGGGUGAGGCUUUCUCAAAGGCCCAUCUGUAGUUAGAGAUGCCCUGUUUCACCUGUGAGAGAAGCAGGCACUCCUGGCGUCCUGCUUACCUUUUUUCUCUUGCAGGUGGCAGAAGGAUGCCGGCAAGACCUCCUGAUCCGCCUUUUCAUGGGGGCAGAAGGGAAGCAGCGGCUGUGGAACCAGAUCAGGUCAGGGGAAGCUGCCUUGUGGGGACAGAGACCGAGGGAUGGAGCAAUGUCAUGGACUGGUUGGGCACAGAGGAGUGGUGGGAGGAAGCAGCCGGGGAACCAGGAAGGGAAGAUGGCUGAGAGCCCAAGGAUUGGAGGUGGAGGAAGGAUGAGCGGUCAGAGGAAGAAUAGGGAAAAGACUGGGAAGAGGAGAUAUCAGAAGCCGAAGAAGUAACAGGGUUUAGUGAGCUGGG